UACGGGGGGGGCAAGCGUUGUUCGGAAUUACUGGGCGUAAAGGGCGCGUAGGCGGCCUGCUAAGUCGGACGUGAAAUCCCUCGGCUCAACCGAGGAACUGCGUCCGAUACUGGUGGGCUUGAGGACUGGAGAGGAGACUGGAAUUUACGGUGUAGCGGUGAAAUGCGUAGAUAUCGUAAGGAAGACCAGUGGCGAAGGCGGGUCUCUGGACAGUUCCUGACGCUGAGGCACGAAGGUCAGGGGAGCAAACGGG
rnacentral:rRNA from 1 species